CAGCAGCCGCGGUAACACAGAGGGUGCGAGCGUUAAUCGGAUUUACUGGGCGUAAAGCGUGCGUAGGCGGCUUCUUAAGUCGGAUGUGAAAUCCCUGAGCUUAACUUAGGAAUUGCAUUCGAUACUGGGAAGCUAGAGUAUGGGAGAGGAUGGUAGAAUUCCAGGUGUAGCGGUGAAAUGCGUAGAGAUCUGGAGGAAUACCGAUGGCGAAGGCAGCCAUCUGGCCUAAUACUGACGCUGAGGUACGAAAGCAUGGGGAGCAAACAGGAUUAGAGACCCCGGUAGUCCCUGUCUCUUAUAC
rnacentral:rRNA from 1 species